rnacentral:rRNA from 1 species
ACGGGAGGCAGCAGUGGGGAAUAUUGCACAAUGGGCGCAAGCCUGAUGCAGCAACGCCGCGUGAGGGAAGACGGUUUUCGGAUUGUAAACCUCUGUCUUUGGUGACGAAGAAGUGACGGUAGCCAAGGAGGAAGCCACGGCUAACUACGUGCCAGCAGCCGCGGUAAUACGUAGGUGGCAAGCGUUAUCCGGAAUUACUGGGUGUAAAGGGAGCGCAGGCGGGUCAGCAAGUCAGCGGUGAAAAUUAUGGGCUCAACCCAUAAACUGCCGUUGAAACUGUUGAUCUUGAGUGGAGUAGAGGCAGGCGGAAUUCCGAGUGUAGCGGUGAAAUGCGUAGAUAUUCGGAGGAACACCAGUGGCGAAGGCGGCCUGCUGGGCUCUAACUGACGCUGAGGCUCGAAAGCGUGGGGAGCAAACAGGAUUAGAUACCCUGGUA